UGGGGAAUAUUGGACAAUGGAGGGAACUCUGAUCCAGCAAUUCUGUGUGUGUGAAGAAGGUUUUAGGACUGUAAAACACUUUUAGUAGGGAAGAAAAAAAUGACGGUACCUACAGAAGAAGCAACGGCUAAAUACGUGCCAGCAGCCGCGGUAAUACGUAUGUUGCGAGCGUUAUCCGGAAUUAUUGGGCGUAAAGCGCGCGCAGGUGGUUUAGAAAGUCUGAUGUGAAAGCCCACGGCUCAACCGUGGAGGGUCAUUGGAAACUAAUAAACUUGAGUGCAGGAGAGAAAAGUGGAAUUCCUAGUGUAGCGAUGAAAUGCGUAGAUAUUGGGAGGAACACCAGUAGCGAAGGCGGCUUUCUGGACUGCAACUGACACUGAGGCACGAAAGCGUGGGUAGCAAACAGG
rnacentral:rRNA from 1 species